UACAGGGGGUGCAAACGUUGCUCGGAAUUACUGGGCGUAAAGCGCGCGCAGGCGGUCUUCCAAGUCAGUGGUGAAAGCCCGGAGCUCAACUCCGGAACUGCCAUUGAAACUGUGAGACUGGAGUACGAGAGAGGUGAGUGGAAUUCCCAGUGUAGAGGUGAAAUUCGUAGAUAUUGGGAAGAACACCGGUGGCGAAGGCGGCUCACUGGCUCGUAACUGACGCUCAGGCGCGACAGCGUGGGGAUCAAACAGG
rnacentral:rRNA from 1 species